UCUGUGUUAUCUGUGUCACAGAUAAAGAUAAUCUUUAUCUGUGUUUACUGUUUACAUAAGUUUAUAACCAUUGCUAAUGUUAGCUUGUUGCUUAUAAAUAUAUUAUCUUUAUAUUUUAAUAGUUAUAUUUUUUUUGUUUAUAUUUAUUUUGUGAGUACAGUAAUUGCACCUUAAGCAGAGCAGCUUUGAUGGUUGUUACAUAAGUAACUUACUGUUGACAAUUUCAAAUUAUUGUGUACAAUUUUUUUUCUUUAGUCGAAUCUACACAGCCUACCACUGGUAAGUUUGUAUAAGUUUGUAUAUGUUAAUGAUUAUAGAACUAGCGAUUACUUUUUAAUUUAGCAAUUACUUUUUCUGUGAAUAGAUUUUAAAGAUUACCAAUUUCUAAGUCAUUAUUUGCAAUAUUUAUUUUUUAUUACAAAUUUUGAAUUUUAGUUACAUCUUCGUUUUUAAAGAAUGUUCCUUUUACUUCUGCUAUAAGUGGUAUGUUUACAAAUUUUUACUUUUCAAUAUGUUUAUGUAUUUCUUGGCAAUUGCAGUAUCUGUUUUUAAUUACAACUUUGAUAACCUUUAGUUACAUCUUCAGCGGCUAAUAUGACUAGUAAGUUUAAAAACUAUUAUUUGCAAACACGUACACACCUCUUUAUCAAUUGCAAAUUACUAACAUAUAAAAAUAAUCUUGAAUACUUGUUUCUCUUUUCCAAUAAACUCAAUUUAAAAUUGAGUUUUUAAAUUGAGUUUAUUUUUCAAAUAUCUUUUAAAUUUUUUUUUUAGGUUGGAUACGACUGGGCAAGAGAGGGGGGGCGUUUUGCGUGGCACAUGUCCCGUCCCUUAUGUCAACUUAUACACCACUUGUAUAUGAUGUAAAGUAAGAAAAUUUAAUUUAAACUUUUUCAUACAAAAUAUAAUUAUUGUUUUUUAGGUUCAAAUAUUUAUAAAAAUGUAGCAUUUCACUACGAGGGUGUUAAAACGUAACAAAGACAUCCACCCUUCAAUCUAAAUAGACCAAUAAUAUUUGGAAAUGGAACGGAAGUAAAUUAGAACAAUUUUUUGUGUAUAAAGAUGACAUAUUUUAUCAGAAAAACACUCUUUCGUAUCAAAAA